GUUACCCCGUUAAGCUCCUUAUAUAUAUAAGCUCCUAUCGAUCAUUAUUGUCGACUGCUGAGCUGCUCUCUGCCAGUCUCUGAAAUGAAUUGGCUAAUCGUCCGCUGUUUGAUGUGCUUGACCUUCACCUUGUCCACACAGCAAGAACUUGAUUGCACAGACAAUGGAGUAACUUACCCGAAUGGCUACAGAUUCAAACCGGAGCCGUGUAAAACUUGUUACUGCUCCAACGGGAACUACGGAUGUAUAGCUGUCAUGUGUGGCUUGCCCAAGUGUAAAGGAGAAGAUAAGCCUUUCGUCAGGGAUGGCGACUGUUGCCCAACGUGUCCUUAGAUAAGAGACUGUGGACUCGGCCACUUUGAACCUACUGUAAUAUUUUGAUGACUGUAUGAUGUAAAUAUAAAUAAAAUGUAAAUGUA
rnacentral:sRNA from 1 species